rnacentral:lncRNA from 1 species
UCAAAAGAAGAUGGUUCCAAUUAUCACGCUGCUCCCCGAUAUUCUUGUGCAUCUCCACUCUAUCUGCCACAGCCUCCAUGAUUGCAUGGAGUUUAGCAAUCACCGAAGGAUCAGAAACAUUGCUCACAGAAGGGAAAAUACCAUUAGUACUCGGCUCGUAUUUCUUCUCCAAAUUGCUGGUGGUUGCAGCUGUGAGACCAACUCCCAUGUCCAGUACUUCCUGUAGUACCAAAUCUCCAGCGGGGAGGUUCAAAGAUAGGCGGCCGGGCUGGAGUUUAGGCAUAUUGAUAGUAGCUCUUAUCAUUCCUCUCCGGCAACGAGAUGAGGAAUAAGCCACUGACGUAAUAACAGCCGAUGAAAAUUGAAGACUCACCAUGUCCUCUCCUUGAACGAUCUGUAUGAGUUUCUUCCUGUUGCUAAGAUUGGUUGAUUCUAAUGGGUAUGUAGUGAAUGGCUUAGGCUUGUAGUGAAAUGUGGUGGCAGUGCAACCUGGAUUAUAUAUAGGGAAUGGGAGUGGACCAAGUACGCUAUUCAACGUUUGAAUGGUCUCAUGGGUCUUGGCUUAGACCUUUUCUUGUCUUUGGUUUAUUGGUGUUUCACCUCUCAAUUACGCUGCUUGUCAAAUAGGGCAUUGAGGCAGUACUUCAUUGACUUUUGUUGGUUUUGAAUACUUAUACAGAAUAUAUAUUUUUGGGCUGCAGGAACUCUGAUUUUUAUUGAUGAAGAGUGCUGAAUUUAUACAUGAGCUUGUAACUUAAAUGACAUUAGAAUAGCAGAAAAUCAAGCUACCUAGAUGAUGAACAACUACUUCCUAUAAAAUAGAAACUAAAUCUUGACCAAAUAAAAAAUAAGAAAAUAUCUAGAUGUUGCAGCUGCAGAAAAUAUUGUGCAAGACUCCAGCUGCAAUAUUCAAAAUUCAAAUUCUAGCAAAUACUAAGUCAAAAUUCAACACUCCUCCUUGACUUCGUAGAUGCAAACUCCAAGUCUUGCACGUAGACACUCGAACCAAACUUCGAAAGGGGUCUGCUUCUUUAACACUUUUGUUGGCAAUAUGUUAAGAAAAUAUACUGCUCCAUUUUGUUGUGGAUUAUAUGGUGCAGUGAGCUGGUGAACAUUGUUUGCAUUCCAUUUCAAGGAUGGCAUCUUUUGAGAUCCACCAACAUCAGUAUGCACCAGUUGCAGUUUUUGGGUUGCUCUCCAGGAUAUUUUCUUUGGAAAGGGAAGUUUAGUUUGCUUCCCAUAUUGACAAGUAGCACAUAUAGGAAGAUCUUUUUCUAAGUCAGGAAGUCCUUCAGCUAUUUGAUUUUUCUUCAUGUAAAGCACAUCAUCAUGAUGAAAGUGCUCGACCCUUCUGUCCCAAAACAUUGUUGUGCUAUCUUGUUGUAAAAUAGCAGUAUGCUCAUCUUCCAAUAAAUUCAAGGCAAAACUCUUGCCCUUCAUUUUUAUGUUGAACACCUCUUUGCCUUCAGCAUCCUUGAUAAUGCAAUUCCUAUCUUCAAAAUAAACUUUAAAUUCUUUCUCAACGAGCUGUCCAACACUGAGUAAGUUUUGGUCAAUGUCANNNNNNNNNNNNNNNNNNNNNNNNNNNNNNNNNNNNNNNNNNNNNNNNNNNNNNNNNNNNNNNNNNNNNNNNNNNNNNNNNNNNNNNNNNNNNNNNNNNNUUUUGGGCUGCUGGAACUCUUUUUUUUUUAUUGAUGAAGAAUGCUGAAUUUAUACAUGAACUUGUAACUUAAAUGACAUUAGAAUAGCAGAAAAUCAAGCUACUAGAUGAUGAACAACUACUUCCUAUAAAAUAGAAACCAAAUCUUGACCAAAUAAAAAUAAGAAAAUAUCUAGAUGUUGCAGAUUUUGUGCAAGACUCCAGCUGCAAUAUUCAAAAUUCAAAUUCCAGCAAAUACUAAGUCAAAAUUCAACACUCCUCCUUGACUUCGUAGAUGCAAACUCCAAGUCUUGCACGUAGACACUCAAACCAAACUUCGAAAGGGGUCUGCUUCUUUAACACUUUUGUUGGCAAUAUGUUCAGAAAAUAUACUGCUCUACUUGCAGUUUUAGCCCAAAAUUGUUUGCAUUCCAUUUCAAGGAUGGCAUUUUUUGAGAUCCACCAACAUCAGUAUGCACCAGUUGCAAUUUUUGGGUUGCUCUCCGGGAUAUUUUCUUUGGAAAGGGAAGUUUAGUUUGCUUCCCAUAUUGACAAGUAGCACAUAUAGGAAGAUCUUUUUCUAAGUCAGGAAGUCCUUCAACUAUUUGAUUUUUCUUCAUGUAGAGCACAUCAUCAUGAUGAAAGUGCUCGACCCUUCUGUCCCAAAACAUUGUUGUGCUAUCCUGUUGUAAAAUAGCAGUAUGCUCAUCUUCCAGUAAAUUCAAGGCAAAACUCUUGCCCUUCAUUUUUAUGUUGAACACCUCUUUGCCUUCAGCAUCCUUGAUAAUGCAAUUCCUAUCUUCAAAAUAAACUUUAAAUUCUUUCUCAACGAGUUGUCCAACACUGAGUAAGUUUUGGUCAAUGUCAGGCACAAACAAAACAUCAUAAAUGAGUUUCAAACCUGUUUGGCUUUCGAUAGCAACCGUUCCUUUGCCCUUCACUGGAAUAUACUCACCAUUUCCAAUUCUGACUUUGGAAAUAGUUGUUCUAUCAAGUUCUCUAAAGAGAUCUUGAUUAUUUGUCAUGUGGUUUGUACAACCACUAUCCACAAGCCAGCUUUUAGAGGUGCUUUUAUUAGCAAAACACGUUGCUGCAAACAAUUGCUCCUCCUGGCAAUAGUCAACUGCUGCACUAGUUUCUUCCUGCUGUUGAUUUUUGCAAAUCCUCUCCACAUGUCCUUGUUUACCACACUUGUUGCAUUUCACAUCUGGUCUCCACCAACAUUUUUGUGGAGAAUGAUUUGUCUUCUUGCAAUGAGGACAAGGUGGAAAAACUCCAUUUUUCUGGUUGUUGCCACACGACUUGUUGUUGUUCACCUUUCCAUUUUUAUGGCCUGCAUUUUUAUGCAUUCUUGCUUGAAAUGCUCCUUCUGCAGUAUCUCCUUGUCUCAUGAGUCUUCUUUGUUCCACAGCCUCCAAGGAAUGUAAUAAUUCUGUCAAGCUAAUAGUUGACAGAUCUUUUGAAUUCUCCAAAGAGGAAAUUGUAGCUUCAUAUUUCUCAGGAAGUGUAACCAAUAUCUUUUGAACAAUCUUUUCAUUGGAAAAUUCUUUUCCAAGCAGCCUAACUUUGUCUGCUAUUGAAAGAAGUUGUACAGCAUAGUCUUUAACAGCAUCAGACUCCCUCAUUUUCUUCAUUUCAAAUUCUCGAAUCAAGUUCAUCACCUGCAUGUUCUUGAUUCUUUCAUCUCCUUUGUAUUCCUCCUUGAGAUACUCCCAAAUUUCUGCAGUUGAAUCAAUUUUCAUGAUUUUGAUGAAAAUUGAUGGUGAAACUGCAGCAAACAAGCAAGCUUUCGCUUUAGCCUUUCUUGUCCUUCUUUCUUUAUGCAACUUCAUUUGAGCCACAGUUGGAUUGGCUCCUAGGGGAGGAACUUCAUAAUUUUCUUCCACUGCUUCCCAAACAUCAAGUGCUUGUAGAUGAACUGUCAUUCUAACAGCCCAAGUUUCAUAAUUGUCUCCAUCAAGAAUUGAUGGUGCAACUGUGAGACUUGACUCUUCCAUUGCUAAAUGAUUUUUGAAGGUGUUUGGGUUCACUCACCUCACUGGCCCCUCAAGAUAACUAUAGCUCUGAUACCACUUUGUUGGUUUUGAAUACUUAUACAGAAUAUAUAUUUUUGGGCUGCAGGAACUCUGAUUUUUAUUGAUGAAGAGUGCUGAAUUUAUACAUGAGCUUGUAACUUAAAUGACAUUAGAAUAGCAGAAAAUCAAGUUACUAGAUGAUGAACAACUACUUCCUAUAAAAUAGAAACUAAAUCUUGACCAAAUAAAAAAUAAAAAAAUAUCUAGAUGUUGCAGAUUUUGUGCAAGACUCCAGCUGCAAUAUUCAAAAUUCAAAUUCUAGCAAAUACUAAGUCAAAAUUCAACAACUUUUAACCUGAAAAAACCAGUAAAACCUUGAAAUAGGCGUAGGCAUUACAAGUACAUAUUUUAAUUAAGAGUUCAAAAUCCCAAUGAGUACGAACAAUUCCUUCAGCUCAUUAUCACUCGUUAGAGAUAUUUGUCAAAUGUUUUUGAGGUGAUAUAUGAUGAAGAAUUUAAAUUCAAAUUCCCAAUAAUGGGUCAUGACCAGAAAUAAUAAAAUCAACCUUUUGCUUCUCCAAUAUUUCUGGGUCUGAAUUCUGUAGCCACAUAUCGUUGAUCAGCAGAUAUAUUUGACGUAACUAAAACAUGGGAUUUGUUCAAAGAUUACAAGUAUUUUGAGCAUUAUCACCAUUAUUUGGUCAAAAAGUGCUACUGUUAUAAUCCAACAUUCAGCCUGUCUGAGACCCAAAUGUUAUGGCUUAAAGCAAGCACUAAGUGCAUUGUAUGGUCAAAUUAAUGGAUACUUCAAGCAAAAACCUAUGUUGUAUGUUAAGACGAGGUAUGAAUGAAAUAUUUGGUAUUUGCCUUUUAAGUUUAUGGUUUGAUUUAUACUAGUGAAUGUACGUAUUAUUUUAAUGAAAGAAUUUUAAAAAGAUGAUGAUCAAUAAAUUUGAGAUGAUUGAUUUAACUUGAUGAGUUAUUUUCUUAUGUUGGAAAUACGGAAAUUUUUAUUUUUCAAGAGAAGUAUAAAAAUAUUUUUCUUUAGAAAUUUGAACUGAAGAACUAAAAUCUAAUGAAAACUCUUAUGAAUGUCAAUGAAAAAUUUUAUUUGAAUGAUAGGGGAUAAAAGGUUGAUAUUCAAGAGUAAUGAAGUUUGGUUGGUAGCUUGUUAUAUCUCACCAAUAAUAGGUUAAAUAUUAUGCAAGCAACAAGUCUCUUAUUAAGGCUUAUGCAAAGUUCAAGCAAGCUUUAUUAUGAUGCAAGUAAGAAAGUCUUAAGAUAUUUAAAAGGAACAAGUUCAUAUAGUAUUUGGUACACUAAUAUAACUGAUCUUUAGCUUUGUUUUUUUUUUUAAAAUUUUGUAGUGAUUGGAUAGGUUUCAUCGAAGAUUGAAAAAUAACCAUAGGCUAUAUUUUCAAUCUUAGUUCAGGUUUGUGGAAUUCAAAGAGUCAUCAAUUGCUUUGUCUUCCUUAGAAGCGGAACAUAUUGCAACAACUUUUAGAGCUUAUGAAAUUAUUUGGUUAAGAGGAAUUUUAGAAGAUAUGAAACAACAUUAAGAAGAGCCCACAAUUAUCCAUUAUGAUAAUCAUUCAACGAUUUUUGUGACAAACAACCUCCAUGUUUCAUGGGUGCACAAAACAUAUAGAGAUACUUUUUCAUUUUAUCAAAGAGUUGGUAGUCAAAGUUACUAUUAAGAUGAUAUAUUAUAACAUCAAUGAAUAACUUGGUGAUAUAUUUAUGAAAUCUCUAUCUUUAGAGAUAUUUGAGUUUUCACGGAUAUUUUAGGAGUUGCAACAUUUCAGCAUUAAGUAGAGAGUUGGAAUUAAUGUUGAUAUUUUAUUGGUUAGCUACAAUUUUUUUUUAAAUCAAAUAAAAUAAAAAAUAUAGUAUACCAUCUUUGGAAGUAUUCCAUACUUGUAUAAGUGGAUUAGUGUUAGUCAACUAGUAGUUAACUUAUUUAAGAAUUUGUUAGAGUUGGAUUGUUUACUUAAAUGCAAAUUGAUUAAUAAAAAAUCAAUCUAAUUCAAUUAGACUUCUUGCUUCUUAUCCAAACAUUUUUAAGUGCUCUAUUUUAUUUUUACUUCUCACUUCUUAAUAGUUGAACUUCUUUUGGAUUAUCAGGGUCAUUCCUUAACUUAGGCUUUCUUUGGUGCGAUCGAUCUCACUUGUAGAUUUAGAAAUAUUUCCCUCAAAUAUGGGAAGAAAAUUGUGAAAAUAUUUCAAUUAAAAAGUAAAGAGUAUGUGUGGGAGGAGGAGGGAAAACAGGGAAACUAGAAUUAUACCAGGCACAUGCAAUGAUGCUGUGGAAGAUGACACGGAACUGGAGCAACACAUACUGGUGAUUGACCCAUCCCACCACCGGCUUGAAGGCCCAUAGCCGCAUUUACAUCCAUUAGAGAUUUUCAAAAGGAUGUAAUCAUAUCUGAUAGUGUAAAUAAUGAUCAAUGUAUACAGCACUGCUGGAUAAUCCUUCUUGANNNNNNNNNNNNNNNNNNNNNNNNNNNNNNNNNNNNNNNNNNNNNNNNNNNNNNNNNNNNNNNNNNNNNNNNNNNNNNNNNNNNNNNNNNNNNNNNNNNNAUGUUUCAAGGCUAAAGGAAACAUCAAUUCUAAGUACUUUACAGUUUAAUUCUCCGAACAAAUUCAGAAUGCAAAUGACAAAACUGAAAAACUCACAUGGAAAAGCAUUUCAGAAAACAGAACAUUAUGGAAGAUAAUCCUACAGCAGCAUCAAAACCUAAAGGGUUUCUGUCUUUUUUUCCUUUUUUUAAUGGAAAACAGGCAUGCAGGCCAGCUCUUUUCAAGAAAUCUAUGAGGAAGUUCAAUGUGGCAUGGUGGGCUUACUCUUUUCCCCUCACCUUCCUUGCUCUAGCCUCUGCGGAAUAUGCACAGAAGGUGGAAGGUGAAAUAGCUCCUGUUCUGAUGCUCAUGCUCAUAGCCUUCUCUGUCUUGGUUUGCCUCAGCUUGAUGCUCUUCACUGCACUCAACACUAAAGCCCUUCUCCUUGGAAAUGAUCCCAUUCUGAAAUUUCGCAAAUCUCAAAACAAGGAGGGCUUGACCAUGGUGUAUAGGAAUGGAGGGUAACUACUCCCAAACCCUGUUUAAUUUUCAACUGCAACUCUACCCUUGUCACUCUGUAGUUUGGUUUCUUAAUCUGACAAUAUACCUGUACUGAACAUAAUCUACAAGAUAAAGUUUUGGCACAUUUCAUGUAAUUUUUAAGUAAUGAAUUAGUAGAAUAUUUAUAGAAUGGACAAUGAAAGCUUAAUCAAAGGAUCAAAGGAUAAGAUGAAUAUCAGAAGUAACAAUUUCUUGACUAUUGAGGAGAAAAUCUAAUUAACUCUACUUCAGCACUCAGCUACAUAAAUCAAUUGACACAACCCCCAAAUCACUCCUACUCCCCACCCCAAAUUUUAAUUAUUAUUUUUUUUUUGAACUUUUGCAAAUAUUCUCAACCUUUGUAUGGAUGUCAAUUAAUCAGUAAUGAACAAACACAUUACAGAACUUCCAACCAAGUACUGUGAAAAAGUAAAGCAGAUACAAAAACUUGUUCACAAAUAUGUGACUGGUUUCUUAUGUGUUCUUCUUGCUACCAGAAUGUGACAAUCUUCGGUCUAAUGACUGCAACUGGUUCCGAAGAUUCUGGUUUUCCUCAAGCAAACGGUCGUAUUCAAGAAGGAAGCCUUCAGAUUGUUUCCUCAGAGCCACAGCAUUGGUUUCUGCAGCCUUUGCUUCUUUUGUUUUUGUCUCAAUUUCAGAUUCCAGCUGCUUAAGCUUUGCCCCUAAUGCUGCCAUCUCUUCCUCCAUGGCUUUGAUUUCUGCUGAACCACCAGUUUUUCCAUCCUCAAAGCCUCGGUUUUGUUUCUUUAUAGCUUCCAUGCUCUUCCUUCUUAAACGGAGUUCUCUGAUGUAGUGAUGUAGUCUGUCUAUCAUUAGUGCAAGGAAGAGGGUGAAUCCUGCAUGUAAGUCCCCCAAAAACAUCAUUACAAAUUCAUAGGCAAUGGCAAUGGGGUUAGAAGCUGAAGGGUAAAAGGGCUAAAAAUAAAAAUGCACAUUAACCAUAAAUUUCAUACUUGUACAAGCGUAGCAGAAUCAAACUGCCAAUAUCGAAUUGGAUAAGAAUUUUGAUAGGUUAAAUUAAACACUGAAUUCUUGGAUAAAUGUGAGCUUCUAGAAAAAGAACAUAUGAUUUUUUAAAACAACAAAAAACAGAGCAACUAGUUGCAUAAAUAUAUACAGCAAGAAAACAGUACUAUUUUCCCACCUGCAUACCCCCUUAGAAAUAUGUCCAGCAUACCCUAGGAGCUCUGAGAUAUUUAGUAGAUAUUCAUUCUAAAAUGGAAUUACAAAUGGAUGGAUAUUAAAAAAGAAAACAAAUGGCAACAACAGGAACUGUUCAGAAAAAACUGGGACAAGUAUAUGGUAAGUUUUCAUACUCAUGCAUUGUUUUGUUUUUCAUCCUCAACAAAGUAAAGAUGAAGGGAGAUGGGGUGGGGUGGGUUUGGGUUGAAGAAGGAAUCAUUGCAGCCAGAUCAUUUCAUCAAUGGAGCAUUAAUAUUGUAGUUUCUAGAUCUUGUUGUUUAUUAUUAUGAAAACUCAAAUCAUUCAGACUCCCCUUGGUUUGGUUUGGAAAAAUCAAGACCCAGAAGCUGGUUCUGUAGGAAUCACACUAUCAAUGUGUUCCAACAAUUUGAUAUUUUUUCCUUGUAAUGAGACUCGUUUCCAGGAAAUAAGCUCACAACCCACUCAUGGCAAUUAAUUGGAACUUCAAUAAGGUCACACACCAACGUCACAACCAAAGUGACAGACAACUGACUUGACAUCAUUUACCCUCCUUUGCUAGAUUCCAUUCUCUGGUUAGACCUACCACAGGUUAGAUGAUCUAGGAAUAUGGCCACCCUGCCCAAGUAUACACUAGCUUGAGCACAUUUGGGCAAGCAUCAUACAGAGUUAAAUGUGGACGAUGAGGGCAUGAUGUAACUGAUAUUAUGACUANNNNNNNNNNNNNNNNNNNNNNNNNNNNNNNNNAUCAGCACCACCAGCACCGUUGCCGCACGUCUUCACCAUAAUAGGGCCUCGACCGCGCUUCACUCGAUCCAGCCCCAUGAUCACCAGCUUCCUCAGUGGAGUCUUGAAGAGGAGCACCAUGAUCAUAGCCAUUUCGGCGAAUAUCACCGUGAACAGUAGCUGAAUCAUCUCCGACCAGCGAGAUCUCACGGCUGCGAACGAGAGAGAGACUUUCGGUUCGACGGCUCAGAUGAGGGCUGUAGGUCAAUACGAUGAGACGAGAUGUCUCGGAACAGAGAGUGAGCAGAGCUUAAGAAGAGAUGGAAGGAAGAAGAGACCCACAGUCUGAGACUAUAAAAUUAUUUAUUUAAUAUACUUUAUUUUUAGGUUUUAGAAUUAAGAGAAUUAUUUAUUAUGUUUUAAGUGUGAAAAAAAAACAAUGAAAAACAUUAAAAUAAUUGAUUUUAAUAUAAAUAUAAUAAUUUAUUUUAUGAACUACAUCACAAAUAAAAUAAAAAUUUAUUUAAAAUAUUAUUAACAAUGAGUUUAUUAUUUUUCAUGUUAUUUUCCAUCACAUAAAUUUAUUCAAUAAAAAAAUCCAUGAUUAAAAUUAGCAUAACAACUUUUAGUUUUUAUAUAUUAAUAUUUUAAAUUUGAAUAAAGAUUUAAAAAAUUAAUAACAUUGUUGUUUUUUUUUUUGUGUUUUUAAUAUAUUUCUAAUUAUUAAUUUAAAAAAAAAUGAUAUUAGUAUAUUUAUGAAUUAAUUUCAUUAGAUAAAAAAAUAUCAUAAAUAAAAUGGUAAGAAAAAUAUAUUUGUGAGUGUGAAAGUGAAGUCAUUUAGUGGGAUAUUUAAAAUACAAAAAAAAAAUUACUAUUUUUUAAAAUUCAAUAGCACAUCACUUGAAUAAUUUUAUUAACAUAAUACGUGAAGGUAGCCCAAUUAAUUUGGGGGAAUACCAAGAAAUAUGGUACUAAUUCGAAUCUUACCACUGAUGAUAUCUAAAAUUUAUCCGAUACUGGUUGUUUGGUCACCAUCGUGAGAUUUAGGUCCCUAUAAAAAGUUUUAAGAACUUAGUCAUAAAAAGUUCCUCAAAGAUUCUUCAUAUUAAAAAAAAAAAUUAUUAACACAAUACAAGAUUUAUAAAAAAAUUUAAUAUAAAAAUCUUAAUAGGAAGCCAAAAAAAGUAUAUUAUUUUUUUAUAAAAAUUCUAUUUCGGCUUGUAAAUCAAUUCUGUGGUGUUCAAUAAAAUUUUAUAUCUCACAAAAGUUCAAUUUCAACUUAUUUAAGAAGCCCGCUGUAUACUUAAUAAAAUAUUUAAAAUAUAAUAAUAAUGUCUUUUAAAAUGAUGACUUUUACCUGAAUUCGAUAAUUUUAAUUAAAGCCAAAAAAUAAAAAUCCAUUUGCCAUUAUAAUAUUUUUGAAAACUCAUUUAUAAAAAAAUUAAGCUCCGUUUAACAAAGGUUUAAAAAUAGUUUUCAAAUGAUUUUUAAAAACAAAAUUUUUCAAAAUUAAUUUUGGAACAAACCCUGAAUGCAAGAUGAUAAUGAGUGUUAAUAAAAGUCCAAAUUCUUUCAAACUUUGAAACCCCAAUUAAAAAAAUUUAAAAUCUAAGUCGGCAGCUCCAAUAUGUGACCAACAUUUUUCAAAGUUUUGAGUACGAAAAGAGAAGAGUGAAGUAAGAAAGCAUGGAGAAAACAGAAAAGGCAGGCAACAAAGAUUAAUUAAAGUUAGGCCCACUACCCAUAGGCCUUUAAAUUUUGAAAUCUUUCAAUUCCAUCCACUUGUUUUUUAAUUUUCCAAUAAGAGAACCAAUUUAAUUUUGAAAUCAAAAGUAUCUCAAGGAUACUGUUUUUUUUUUUUUUUUUAAAUGGUCUUCGACCACAAUUUUAAAAAAUAAUUCUUGAAUAAAAGUUAUUUUUUUAAUUUUUAUAUUAAAAUAAAAUAUGUAAGCAUCUUAAAUAUAUUAAUAUUUAAAAAAAUUUAAAAACAAAUAAACAGGUGAGUAAUUAUGACUGGUUUGCUCACAAUUGAAUCCACUCCCAUAUUUUUUUAGAUGAGAUUCAAGGUGGAAUUCACAUGCAACAAAGGUCUUAAACACUCAGACCAACCACACUAUGGUGGUGUUUGUUUUUUUUAUUUAAUUUUAUAUAGAACUUUAAUGCUUAAUAGUGUUAAAUAUUAGAUUAUUUGUUUUUGUAGUAUUUUAUUUAUAUUAAGUAUUAAAAAUUAAAAAAACCAAUAUAUUAUUUUUUCUAUUUAGAAAAAAGCUAUAUAUUUUGAUUUUUUUUAUUUAGUAAAAAGUUUAUAAUAAGUCAUGAAAAAAUAGAAAAACAAACAAUCUAAAUUUUAAAACUAAAUUGCUUUUAACAAAAAGCCAAAAAAAUAAACAUCACCUACAACAAAUUUCUGAAUUAAUUCCAGCCCCACCUUCAUCAAGAAGGAUCCAACCAACAAUAUCAAUGUCAAAUUUAUACAACUAACCAAUAGAGUCAACAACCAUGAUCAUAGGCCGUUGCCAAGCAAUAAAAGUAGAUCUCCUUUUGGGGCAUGUUCAUUUUACAUUUGAAUAUUGCAGAGGGAUGCUGAAAAGCAAUGGGGGAUUGGUGGGGCAAAGUGACAAUGUGUUCACAUUCACAACCCACUCCUACACUUUCUUCUCUUUCGCUCAUUCUUGAAUUCAUUUUUGCCAAAAUUUAUAUCACAUAAGCUUAUCACUGAUAGAAAGAUAUAUAGGUUGUAAUUACAACCUUUAUGUUAGGUUGAUUAAUUUAAAGAAAGGAAAGGAAAUUUUAAAAAAAUUAUGGGAAAUAAUUUAAUAAUAUUUGGAUUUCAUAAAGAAAAAUGUAUUUCUUAGAUCUAGUUUGUAUAUGAUUUCUUUUCUUUUUUUAAAAGAAAAACAUAAAAUAAUAAUAAUUUUGGUAUAAAAAUUAGAAAUUUUUAUAAAAAAAUGUAGAAUUACCUUAUGUUCUUAAAAAUUACUUUACAAUAUUUUAAAUUUUUUUUCUAAUUACUCAAUUUUUUAAAAUGGGUUUUAAAAAUCAUUAUAUUUUUAAUUUAAAUCUUUGAGAGUUGUUGUCUUUUAUAUAGAAGAUAUUAUUAUAUUGGGCUUUUAAAAAUAUAAAAUAGAAAAUAUACCGAAAUGGAUACUUAUUAAUUUAAUUAUUAAUAAGAACCUUUUUUAAGCCUUCCAAAACAAAGAACCAGAAAAUUAAUUUAAACAUAGGAGAUAGUUAAGAUCCCUGGACAAAUUUUAGGUUUACAUUUUCCUUAAAGGUCAACAGAUUAUUGUUUGUCAACCCCAUGAAAUCUUUAUGAAAACUGAAACCUAACAAACAAUUUAUACAUCUUGGAGUGAUCUACUUAACUUUUCCUUCCUGCUGUAUUCUGAUUCUCAGCAUGAAAAUUCUUUAGUACUUUAUAAUGGGUCUCAAAUUCAAUGGAGUGACAACAAUGUACCGUAAAGAGAAUCAUUCGGUAGCAAAUCCAACAUUGAGUAUAUGGUUUAUGGAUUAAAGCCAACCACCCACCCCCAUUGGAAAAUGAAAUUGACCCGGAAAAUGCAUCAGUUUUAGUUGAAUUCAUAAUUUCUUAAUUUUCAGUUUUGGUGAGCAGAUGUGUUCAAAUUGCUGUAUAGAAAAUGGACUAAUUCAAUUUCCAUGGAAUAUUCAGAUCUUUUAGCAGUCUGAUUUCAAUUGAAUGAAUGAAUACAUGAAUUACUAGAUUGUACAGCCCUAUUGUGUUUAUAGACAAGGUUAGCUUACAAUGAUAUACAAGAUUUAGUGUAUUAUCAACAAAACUAAGGAUGAACCUCUAGGAUAUUAGAAGAGCUUGCUUGCGAACUCUUCAAUGGCCUCUCCUUUUUUGGAAGAAGAAUAAGAGGAUGCUGCCAGAUCCUUGAGCCCGGACAAGCUUCUUCCUAGCUGUAGAGCCACCUUCGUUUCAAACAAUUCCCCGUUCUCUCUUCUCCCCACAUCUCUUUCAUUCAGAUUUGACUCUAUGGUCUCUUCCAUCAUCCGGAAGAAGCCUGCGUUGCUUCUAUACAUCUCAAACACCAUGCCCAUUUGCCCGCCAUGCUCCAUUGUGUUCACCACGCUUGCCAUGGCUCCAGCUACGACUCCUAGUGUGGCGGCCCAGGGACCGUGAGAAGAUCCCACGAACGCAGUUCCACAAGCCGCUAAGCCUGUCAAUAAGGGACCAGAAAUGGCGAGCAUCCUGUUAACUUUCAAGGCUAUUUUGCCCAGCCUCAAAUAGUCUUCAGUGUCCUUUCUCUUCAAAACCCCAACUACUUCUCUCAUUUCUUCCUCCAACUCCACACUCCAACCAUUUCCAUCUGUUCUCCCACUCUGCCUGUCCUGCCUUCGCCUGUGCUCCGGCCACCAUACAGCAGGCUCCACAGUUUUGGGGAAUUUAUCGAGCAUCGCUCCUAGUAAAGGAAGCGGGAAGGCCUUGUCCAGUGACAAAACUUUCUCCAUAACUUCCUCAACAUCGGUACUAGUAGGAGUGCCACAAGAGAGUGUUCUUUGAAUCUGGCCAUGAAGCUGCUUAAACAACCUCGCGGCAUUGCGCUGUUCUUCGACGAGUUGAGAUGGCUGGAUCUUAUUCAUCACCACCAACAUCCCAGUGGCUGCCAAAUACAUCAGAGUGGAAGAGAGCUUGAGAGCUACAAGGGGUCCUCCUACACUUGUAGCAGCAAUUCCAGCCAUGGUUGCAGCAGUGAGUGUGAUUGCAUUAAUCGAUGUCAAAAGAAGAUGGUUCCAAUUAUCACGCUGCUCCCCGAUAUUCUUGUGCAUCUCCACUCUAUCUGCCACAGCCUCCAUGAUUGCAUGGAGUUUAGCAAUCACCGAAGGAUCAGAAACAUCGCUCACAGAAGGGAAAAUACCAUUAGUACUCGGCUCGUAUUUCUUCUCCAAAUUGCUGGUGGUUGCAGCUGUGAGACCAACUCCCAUGUCCAGUACUUCCUGUAGUACCAAAUCUCUAGCGGGGAGGUUCAAAGAUAGGCGGCCGGGCUGGAGUUUAGGCAUAUUGAUAGUAGCUCUUAUCAUUCCUCUCCGGCAACGAGAUGAGGAAUAAGCCACUGACGUAAUAACAGCCGAUGAAAAUUGAAGACUCACCAUGUCCUCUCCUUGAACGAUCUGUAUGAGUUUCUUCUUGUUGCUAAGAUUGGUUGAUUCUAAUGGGUAUGUAGUGAAUGGCUUAGGCUUGUAGUGAAAUGUGGUGGCAAUGCAACCUGGAUUAUAUAUAGGGAAUGGGAGUGGACCAAGUACGCUAUUCAACGUUUGAAUGGUCUCAUGGGUCUUGGCUUAGACCUUUUCUUGUCUUUGGUUAAUUGGUGUUUCACCUCUCAAUUACGCUGCUUGUCAAAUAGGGCAUUGAGGCAGUACUUCAUUGACUUUUAACCUGCGAAAACCAGUAAAACCUUGAAAUAGGCGUAGGCAUUACAAGUACAUAUUUUAAUUAAGAGUUCAAAAUCCCAAUGAGUACGAACAAUUCCUUCAGCUCAUUAUCACUCGUUAGAGAUAUUUGUCAAAUGUUUUUGAGGUGAUAUAUGAUGAAGAAUUUAAAUUUAAAUUCCCAAUAAGGGGUCAUGACCAGAAAUAAUAAAAUCAACUUUUGCUUCUCCAAUAUUUCUGGGUCUGAAUUCUGUAGCCACAUAUCGUUGAUCAGCAGAUAUAUUUGACGUAACUAAAACAUGGGAUUUGUUCAAAGAUUACAAGUAUUUUGAGCAUUAUCACCAUUAUUUGGUCAAAAAGUGCUACUGUUAUAAUCCAACAUUCAGCCUGUCUGAGACCCAAAUGUUAUGGCUUAAAGCAAGCACUAAGUGCAUUGUAUGGUCAAAUUAAUGGAUACUUCAAGCAAAAAUCUAUGUUGUAUGUUAAGACGAGGUAUGAAUGAAAUAUUUGGUAUUUGCCUUUUAAGUUUAUGGUUUGAUUUAUACUAGUGAAUGUACGUAUUAUUUUAAUGAAAGAAUUUUAAAAAGAUGAUGAUCACUAAAUUUGAGAUGAUUGAUUUAACUUGAUGAGUUAUUUUCUUAUGUUGGAAAUACAGAAAUUUUUAUUUUUCAAGAGAAGUAUAAAAAUAUUCUUCUUUAGAAAUUUGAAAUGAAGAACUAAAAUCUAAUGAAAACUCUUAUGAAUGUCAAUGAAAAAUUUUAUUUGAAUGAUAGGGGAUAAAAGGUUGAUAUUCAAGAGUAAUGAAGUUUGGUUGGUAGCUUGUUAUAUCUCACCAAUAAUAGGUUAAAUAUUAUGCAAGCAACAAGUCUCUUAUUAAGGCUUAUGCAAAGUUCAAGCAAGCUUUAUUAUGAUGCAAGUAAGAAAGUCUUAAGAUAUUUAAAAGGAACAAGUUCAUAUAGUAUUUGGUACACUAAUAUAACUGAUCUUUAGCUUUGUUUUUUUUUUAAAAAUUUUGUAGUGAUUGGAUAGGUUUCAUCGAAGAUUGAAAAAUAACCAUAGGCUAUAUUUUCAAUCUUAGUUCAGGUUUGUGGAAUUCAAAGAGUCAUCAAUUGCUUUGUCUUCCUUAGAAGCGGAACAUAUUGCAACAACUUUUAGAGCUUAUGAAAUUAUUUGGUUAAGAGGAAUUUUAGAAGAUAUGAAACAACAUUAAGAAGAGCCCACAAUUAUCCAUUAUGAUAAUCAUUCAACGAUUUUUGUGACAAACAACCUCCAUGUUUCAUGGGUGCACAAAACAUAUAAAGAUACUUUUUCAUUUUAUCAAAGAGUUGGUAGUCAAAGUUAUUAUUAAGAUGAUAUAUUAUAACAUCAAUGAAUAACUUGGUGAUAUAUUUAUGAAAUCUCUAUCUUUAGAGAUAUUUGAGUUUUCACGGAUAUUUUAGGAGUUGCAACAUUUCAGCAUUAAGUAGAGAGUUGGAAUUAAUGUUGAUAUUUUAUUGGUUAGCUACAAUUUUAUUUUAAAUCAAAUAAAAUAAAAAAUAUAGUAUACCAUCUUUGGAAGUAUUCCAUACUUGUAUAAGUGGAUUAGUGUUAGUCAACUAGUAGUUAACUUAUUUAAGAAUUUGUUAGAGUUGGAUUGUUUAUUUAAAUGCAAAUUGAUUAAUAAAAAAUCAAUCUAAUUCAAUUAGACUUCUUGCUUCUUAUCCAAACAUUUUUAAGUGCUCUAUUUUAUUUUUACUUCUCACUUCUUAAUAGUUGAACUUCUUUUGGAUUAUCAGGCUCAUUCCUUAACUUAGGCUUUCUUUGGUGCGAUCGAUCUCACUUGUAGAUUUAGAAAUAUUUCCCUCAAAUAUGGGAAGAAAAUUGUGAAAAUAUUUCAAUUAAAAAGUAAAGAGUGUGUGUGGGAGGAGGAGGGAAAACAGGGAAACUAGAAUUAUACCAGGCACAUGCAAUGAUGCUGUGGAAGAUGACACGGAACUGGAGCAACACAUACUGGUGAUUGACCCAUCCCACCACCGGCUUGAAGGCCCAGAGCCGCAUUUACAUCCAUUAGAGAUUUUCAAAAGGAUGUAAUCAUAUCUGAUAGUGUAAAUAAUGAUCAAUGUAUACAGCACUGCUGGAUAAUCCUUCUUGAUCUUAGUUUUCACAUGGGUCUAGGGUCUUCUUGCAUUUCAUAAGAGUAUACAAUCUAAGGGUCUGGUCAUGGACUGUAAGUAUUUUAUAUCAAUGCCUCUAUGCCAAGCCUAGUCACCAAUCUGCAAUUUUUUUAGGCUUUGUUUAUAUGGUUGUUUACUCUAAAUUAAAUAUUGAUUGAGGAAUUUCUUAUGCCAAUAUGUAGCAAGGUCAACCAGGGAACUGGUUUACAUCCAAUGCCUUCAUUGCAUCUAUCUCUGAUGUGCAUAUGGCCCUCUAUUCCUAUGUAUUGCUUGCAAGAUUCCAUAUAGUAUUGAAGUUAUACAAGGAUCAAGGUGAGGGUUGCCUACCUAUAUUUCCAUGAAACUUGAAGAUAUGAUCAUGGACAUUACCCUCAACAACCAGCCCAUAGUAGACCAUUUAUACAAAGUUGUUCCAAGGUGAAGAUGUCAAUUAUUCGAUGACCCCCUGAAAUAAAUAAUUUAAUUCGGCAAUUAAUUAGAAUAGAACAACACGUUAGACAUAAAUCAGUACCCGUAGUAGACCCUAGGAUUUCCGGAAAUUUAAGGUUCACAUUUAACCCUAAAACUCCAUGAAAUCUAUAUAAAAACUGGAACAUUAUUUCUACAUCUUGGAGUCUAUUAAUUAAUUUUUCCUUCUUGUUGGAUUCAAAUUCCCAGCAUCAAAGUUCGUUAAAAUUCAAUGGAGUGACAACUAUCUACUGUAAAGAAAGAAUCAUUUGGUGGCAAACCCACCAUUUACUUUGCCUUAUGAUAGAAGUCAGAACCUCCUCAGACUCAAAAGUAUCUGCCUUAUUUCAAUAGAGUUCAAACGAAGGAAUGAUAAUUUUGACCUUUUCCAUGUAUAGUUUACACUGUUUUUCCUCCCCUCUAUAUAUAGUAUAUAUGGACUCGACUAACCCACCAACCCCAUACGAAAAUGAAACUUUUCUGUCUCAGAAGCUGCAUUUUCUUAGUUGCCAUUUAGAUUUUCAUGCUUUCUUCACUAGAAAAAAAAAAAAAAAAAAACCAAAGAAAUUUUAGAUGAUAAAGAAAAAGUAUAAAGUAUUGCAUUGUUUAUUAUUCAUGGACUUUCAUCUCCAAAUUGACCCAGAAAUACAUCGGUUUUAGCUGAAAGCAUAUAAAACUUUUUAAUUUUCAGUUUCGGUGAGCAGAUGUGUUCAAAUUGCUGAAUAGAAAACGGACUAAUUCAAUUUCCAUGGAAUAUUCAGACCUUUUAGCAGUCUGAUUUCAAUUGAAUGAAUGAAUAAAUGAAUUACUAGAUUGUACAGCCCUAUUGUGUUUAUAGACAAGGUUACAAUGAUAUACAAGAUUUAGUGUAUUAUCAACAAAACUGAGGAUGAACCACCACGAUAUUAGAAGAGCUUGCUUGCAAACUCUUCAAUGGCCUCUCCUUUUUUGGAAGAAGAAUAAGAGGAUGCUGCCAGAUCCUUGAGCCCGGACAAGCUUCUUCCUAGCUGUAGAGCCACCUUCAUUUCAAACAAUUCCCCAUUCUCUCUUCUCCCCACAUCUCUUUCAUUCAGAUUUGACUCUAUGCUCUCUUCCAUCAGCCGGAAGAAGCCUGCGUUGCCUCUAUACAUCUCAAACACCAUGCCCACUUGCCAGCCAUGCUCCAUUGUGUUCACCACGCUUGCCAUGGCUCCAGCUACGACUCCUAGUGUCGCGGCCCAGGGACCAUGAGAAGAUCCCACGAACGCAGUUCCACAAGCCGAUAAGCCUGUCAAUAAGGGGCCAGAAAUGGCGAGUAUCUUGUUAACUUUCAAGGCUAUUUUGCCCAGCCUCAAAUAGUCUUCAGUGUCCUUCCUCUUCAAAACCCCAACAACUUCUCUCAUUUCUUCCUCCAACUCCACACUCCAACCAUUUCCAUCUGUUCUCCCACUAUGCCUUUCCUGUCUUUGCCUGUGCUGCGGCCACCAUACAGCAGGUUCCACAGUUUUGGGGAAUUUAUCAAGCAUGGCUCCUAGUAAAGGAAGCGGGAAUGCCUUGUCCAGUGCCAAAACUUUCUCCAUGGCUUCCUCAACAUCGUUACUAGUAGGAGUGCCACAAGAGAGUGUUCUUUGAAUCUGGCCAUGAAGCUGCUUAAACAGCCUCGCAGCAUUGCGCUGUUCUUCGACGAGUUGAGAUGGCUGUAUCUUAUUCAUCACCACCAACAUCCCAGUGGCUGCCAAAUACAUCAGAGUUGAAGAGAGCUUCAGGGCCACAAGGGGUCCUCCUACACUUGUAGCAGCAAUUCCAGCCAUGGUUGCAGCAGUGAGUGUGAUUGCAUUAAUGGAUGUCAAAAGAAGAUGGUUCCAAUUAUCACGCUGCUCCCCGAUAUUCUUGUGCAUCUCCACUCUAUCUGCAACAGCCUCCAUGAUUUCAUGGAGCUUAGCAAUCACCAUAGGAUCAGAAACAUUGCUCACAGAAGGCAAAGUAGUAUUAGGUCUGGACUCGUAUUUCUUCUCUACAUGGCUGGUGGUUGCAGCUGUGAGACCAACUCCCAUGUCCAGUACUUCCUGUACCAGAUCUCUAGCGGGGAGCUUCAGAGAUAGGCCGCCAGUCCGGAGCUUAGGCAUAUUGAUAGUAGCUCUUAUCAUUCCUCUCCGGCAACAAGAUAAGGAAUGAGGCAAUGAACCAAUAACGCCUGAAGAUUGAAGACUUGCCAUGUCCUCUCCUCGUACGAUCUGUAUGAGUUUCUUCUGGUUGCUAAGAUUGGGUUAUUCUAAUGGACGGGUAUUGAAUGGCUUAGGCUUGAAGAAGUGUAGUGAAAUGGGGUGGAGAUGCAACCUGGAUUAUAUAUAGGGAAUGGGAGUGGACCAAGUAUGCUGUUCAACGUUUGAAUGGGAUCAUGGGUCUUGAUUUAGACUGUUUCUCGUCUUCGGUUUAUUGGGGGUUUCACCCUUCAAUUAGGCUGCUUAUAAGCCAGGGCAUUCAAGCAGUCCUCCAUUGACUUUCAACCUGAAAAAACCAGUAAAACCAAGGAAUUGGCAAAGACAUUACAAGUAUAUAUAUUUUAAUUAACUGUACAAAAUCCGAAUGAUUAUGAACAAUUCCCACAGCUCAUUUAUGACUUUUUAGAGAUAUUUGUCAAAUGGAUUGAGGUAAUAUAUGACCAAGAAUUUAAAUUCAAAUUCGUGGUAAUAGCACUAAUGGGUCAUGACCACAAACAAUAAAAUCAAUCUUUAAUUUGCUUCUCCAAUAUUUCUGGGUUUCAAACCUGUAGCCAUGGACACCACCUUUUUUUUUUUUUUUUUUCUUUGUUUCCCCUCUUCUUCUUUUUUUUUUUUUUUUUUUUUUGUGACUAAAUUGUUGCAAAAUUUAAUGAGAAAUUUAAAUACUUUGCACUGAAACCUCUUGUGCCUUGCUUAUCACAAUGAUAACACUUAAAUUACCUAAUCUUUCUUGUUGCCUUUCUAUUUAGUUUUUCUUAAUCCAUAUUCUUUAGUUACUUUGUGACUAUCACCUAAAAUAGUAUUUUCCCAAUCAAAAUAACAAAAUGAAUCCUCCACUCGUGAUUUCUAUGUUUGAGUGAGUGGGUAUAUGAGAGAAAGAGAGUCCAAUGGUAAGAAAUUAAUAUGUGAAAUUGAAAAUAAUUAAAAAAUUUACCUAUUUCAAGUGCUCAAUUCUUACCUGAAUGCAUGAGGGCUUUUAGAUUUUCACCAAAAAAAUAUGAGAAAACUCAUAUACCUAGGAUUAUAAUGUUAAGAGGUUUAUAAUUUAUCGAAAAAAAUAAAAAUUAUAAUAAACAAUUGAUCAAUCAUCAUGUAGACAGUCAAACUGUAAACAAAUUUAACAACAUUUAUAUCGCUAUAUAUUGAAAUCGUGCAAUCAAUCCACAAAUUGACCAAAAAUACUUACUCCAUCACAUCUAAUGGUUUGAUGAUAUUUAAUAUUUAAAUUUUGGGAACCAAACAUAUUCUAAGAAAUGCCUUUUUUUUUUUUAACUAGAUCCAUCAUCCUCGGCUGUUGCCAAACAAUACUAAAAUUAGAUCUCCUUUUGGGCAUUUCAAUUAUAUAUUUGAACAAUGCAAAGGGGUGAUAAUAUAAUUAUGUUACCAGUUCUUCACUUUUGAGUAAAUAAAUGGGAAUGGUGAGGACAAAGGGAUAAUGUCUGCACAUCGACAAGCCACCCCACAAUUUCUUCUCUUUUGGUCAUAUUCUUGAUUGCAUUUUCGCCAAAGUUCACAUCACAUAAAUUUAAAAUUAAUUAAAUGAAAGGUAAUCAUAGAAAAUGUAGCCAUAAUUACGACCUUAAUGCCUCUUGGAGUCUAUUUAAUGGAAUGACAACUAUCUACUGUAAAAAGAAUCAUUUGGUAGCAAACAUAUUCGUUGACUUUGGCUCCUAUGAUAAAAGUCAGUGUCUCCUCGACACACUGUCUUAUUUCAAUAGAGUUCAAACAAGGAAUGAUAAUUUUGAACUUUUCCAUGUGUGGAUCAUUAAUUACGUGGUUUGUCUUCUUCCAAUGACUUUUAUGCAUAUUAUGGAUUCUAAUAGCCAUCCAACCCCAUAAGAAAAUGAAAAUUUCAACCUCAGGAGCCGCAUUUUCUUAGUUGUCAUUUGGAUUAUCAUGCUUUCUUGCACUAGAAAGAAAACCAAAGAAACUUAGAUGAUAAAGAAAAUCGAUAAAUUAUCACAGUGACCCGGAAAAUGCAUCAGUUUUAGUUGAAUUCAUAAUUUCUUAAUUUUCAGUUUUGGUGAGCAGAUGUGUUCAAAUUGCUGUAUAGAAAAUGGACUAAUUCAAUUUCCAUGGAAUAUUCAGACCUUUUAGCAGUCUGAUUUCAAUUGACUGAAUGAAUACAUGAAUUACUAGAUUGUACAGCCCUAUUGUGUUUAUAGACAAGGUUAGCUUACAAUGAUAUACAAGAUUUAGUGUAUUAUCAACAAAACUGAGGAUGAACCACCACGAUAUUAGAAGAGCUUGCUUGCGAACUCUUCAAUGGCCUCUCCUUUUUUAGAAGAAGAACAAGAGGAUGCUGCCAGACUCUUGAGCCCGGACAAGCUUCUUCCUAGCUGUAGAGCCACCUUCGUUUCAAACAAUUCCCCGUUCUCUCUUCUCCCCACAUCUCUUUCAUUCAGAUUUGACUCUAUGCUCUCUUCCAUCAUCCGGAAGAAGCCUGCGUUGCUUCUAUACAUCUCAAACACCAUGCCCACUUGCCCGCCAUGCUCCAUUGUGUUCACCACGCUUGCCAUGGCUCCAGCUACGACUCCUAGUGUGGCGGCCCAGGGACCGUGAGAAGAUCCCACGAACGCAGUUCCACAAGCCGCUAAGCCUGUCAAUAAGGGACCAGAAAUGGCGAGCAUCCUGUUAACUUUCAAGGCUAUUUUGCCCAGCCUCAAAUAGUCUUCAGUGUCCUUUCUCUUCAAAACCCCAACUACUUCUCUCAUUUCUUCCUCCAACUCCACACUCCAACCAUUUCCAUCUGUUCUCCCACUCUGCCUGUCCUGCCUUUGCCUGUGCUCCGGCCACCAUACAGCAGGCUCCACAGUUUUGGGGAAUUUAUCGAGCAUCGCUCCUAGUAAAGGAAGCGGGAAGGCCUUGUCCAGUGACAAAACUUUCUCCAUAACUUCCUCAACAUCGGUACUAGUAGGAGUGCCACAAGAGAGUGUUCUUUGAAUCUGGCCAUGAAGCUGCUUAAACAACCUCGCGGCAUUGCGCUGUUCUUCGACGAGUUGAGAUGGCUGGAUCUUAUUCAUCACCACCAGCAUCCCAGUGGCUGCCAAAUACAUCAGAGUGGAAGAGAGCUUGAGAGCUACAAGGGGUCCUCCUACACUUGUAGCGGCAAUUCCAGCCAUGGUUGCAGCAGUGAGUGUGAUUGCAUUAAUGGAUGUCAAAAGAAGAUGGUUCCAAUUAUCACGCUGCUCACCGAUAUUCUUGUGCAUCUCCACUCUAUCUGCAACAGCCUCCAUCAUUGCAUGGAGUUUAGCGAUCACCAAAGGAUCAGAAACAUUGCUCACAGAAGGGAAAGUACCAUUAGUACUCAGCUCGUAUUUCUUCUCCAAAUUGCUGGUGGUUGCAGCUGUGAGACCAACCCCCAUGUCCAGUACUUCCUGUAGUACCAAAUCUCUAGCGGGGAGGUUCAAAGAUAGGCGGCCGGGCUGGAGUUUAGGCAUAUUGAUAGUAGCUCUUAUCAUUCCUCUCCGGCAACGAGAUGAGGAAUAAGCCACUGACGUAAUAACAGCCGAUGAAAAUUGAAGACUCACCAUGUCCUCUCCUUGAACGAUCUGUAUUGAGUUUCUUCUUGUUGCUAAGAUUGGUUGAUUCUAAUGGGUAUGUAGUGAAUGGCUUAGGCUUGUAGUGAAAUGUGGUGGCAAUGCAACCUGGAUUAUAUAUAGGGAAUGGGAGUGGACCAAGUACGCUAUUCAACGUUUGAAUGGUCUCAUGGGUCUUGGCUUAGACCGUUUCUUGUCUUUGGUUCAUUGGUGUUUCACUGCUUGUCAGCUUGGGCAUCGAGGCAGUACUUCAUUGACUUUCAACCUGCAAAAACCAGUAAAACCUUGAAAUAAUAAAAUCAACCUUUUGCUUCUCCAAUAUUUCUGGGUCUGAAUUCUGUAGCCAUAUAUCGUUGAUCAGCAGUGACGUAACUAAAACAUGGGAUUUGUUCAAAGAUUACAAGUAUUUUGAGCAUUAUCACCAUUUUAUGAAAUUUCCAGACGUCUUUCUUUCCAAUCAACAUACCGUAUUCCAAUGAGAGAAUAGGCUUUCUUUUUGUCAAUUUUUUUUUAAAAAAUUUUAUGACUAAAUCACAAAUUCAAAAUAAUUUAUUAGUAGGGUCAAUUAUUAUUCAAAAAUAACAAUGAGAAAUAAAGAGAUAAGUUUAGUCUUGAUAUUUUUUUUUUUUCUUACAAGCUUUAUAGUUUUUAUUUUUAUUUUUUAUCUAUACGUAUAUAUUUGAUUUUCUUCCUAUUUCUAUGACAAAUCAAAUAGAUAUUUUGAGUUUUUUAUAUUUUAUUUUAUUUUUUCCUUUUUUAUGAUCCUAACACAAGGUAAUUAAUUAUCAGAAAAAAAUCCCUCAAUUAUUAUAGGAAUUAUAUUAUAAUAAAAUGAUUGGUCUCAUUAAUGUUUAUAAUAUAAUUAAGAUAAUUGAUAAUAUAUAGAAGAAAAUGGAGAAGUUGUUGUUCUCAAUUAUAGUUUAUUUAAUAAAAAAAAAACAUUUUAAAUAUUUUUCUAACUUAGAAAACAAGUUUACAAAACUUGUACAAAAUCAAAAAUUUUUAAAAAUAAUUCUGAAAAUAAAACAUUUUUUCUUUUAAAAAAAAAAUUGACAAGUUUUCAAUUGUUUUUAAAGAAUAUUUUGAGUAAGAAAAAUGCUUUGGGACUUUUUCAUGGUACAUAAAAUAUAUAAAUACUUCUUAAGAAUAAACCACCAAAACUAUUUUUUAUAUUAAAUUUCUAAUCAAAAUUUUGUUAAUUUUGUUAAUUUUUCUUUUAAAAACGAUUAAGAAUUACUCUUAAUAUCUGUUCUAAAACUGUCGGCCCUUUGUAUUUGACUGGUCGCUGGACCAUGGAGCGGCGGUUAGAAUUUGACAGUUUGGCGGCAUCCUUUAGCAAAGAUGAGGUCAUGGGAAUAGGAGGACAGGCGCCAGUGGGCGCUGGCCCUAGUUUAUUUGGUCAAAAAGUGCUACUGUUAUAAUCCAACAUUCAGCCCUCCAUGGAAAUUGUCUUGAGACCCAAAUGUUAUGGCUUAAAGCAAGCACUAAAUGCAUCGUAUGAUCAAAUUAAUGGAUACGUCAAGGAACAAAGUGAAAAUCUAUGUUGUAUGUUAAGACAGGAGGUAUGAAUGAAAUACUUAGUAUUUGCCUUUAAGUUUAUGAUUUGAUUUAUACUAAUAAAUGUAUUAUUUUAAUGAAAGGAUUUUAAAAAGAUGAUGAUGAUUAAUUUGAGAUGAUUGAUUUAACUUGACGAGUUAUUUUCUUACCUGAUGAGUUGUUUUCUUAUGUUGGAAGUCAUCUAAUGGGAUGCAAAAAAAUUUAUUUUUCAAGAGAAGCAUGAAAAUAAUCUUCUGAAUGCCAAUAAAAAUUUUUGUUUAAAUGAUAAGGAAGAAAAGGUUGAUAUUCAAAUAUAAUGAAGUUUGAUUGGUAGCUUAUUAUAUCUCACCAACAAUGGGUUAGAUAUUAUGUAAGCAACAAAUCUCUUAUUAAGGUUUAUGCAGAAUUCAAGCAAGUUUCAUUACGGUGCAAGUAAGAAAGUAUUAAAAUAUUUAAAAUGAACAAGUUCAUAUAGAAUUUGGUACACUAAUACAACUGAAAGGAAAACCUGGUGACCUAUAUAUUUUUAGUAGAAAACACUACCCAUAUUCUCUAUCAAUCUCCUAUUAAUCUUGGUUGUAAUAUCCAUAUUCUCUAUCAAUCUUCUACCAAUCUCGGUUGUAAUUUACAGCUCACACACAUCUCUUGUUACCAGUAUAUAAUACAAUGAAUCACAAAGGAAUGACAUGCUCUCAUUUUUUUAUUCUUUGUGUAAACCUAACAAUAACUAAUCGUUAGCUUUGGAUUUUUUUUUUUAUUGUGAUUGGAUAGGUUUAAUCGAAGAUUGAAAAAUAACCAUACACUAUAUUUUCAAUCUUAGUUCAGGUUAGUGGAAUUCAAAGAGUCAUCAAUUGUUUUGUCUUCCUUAGAAGCGGAACAUAUUGCAACAACUUUUAGAGCUCAUGAAAUUGUUUGGUUAAGAGGAAUUUUAGAAGAUAUGAAACAACAUCAAGAAGAGCCCACAAUUAUCCAUUAUGAUAAUAUUCAACAAUUUUUGUGACAAAGAACCUCCUUGUUUCAGGGGUGCACAAAACAUAUAGAGAUACUUCUUCAUUUUAUCAAAGAGUUGACGGUCAAAGUAACUAUUAAAAUGAUAUAUUAUAACAUCAAUGAAUAACUUGCCGAUAUAUUUAUGAAAUCUCUAUCUUUAGAGACAUUUGAGUUUUCUUGGAUAUUUUAGGAGUUGCAACAUUUCAGCAUUAAGUAGAGAGUUGGAAUUAAUGUUGAUAUUUUAUUGGUUAGCUACAAUUUUAUUUUAAAUCAAAUAAGAUACCAAAUUUUGUACUUGUAUAAGUGGGUUAGUAUUAGAAGGCUAGUAGUUAACUUAUUUAAGAAUUUGUUAGAGUCAGAUUGUUUAUUUAAAUGCAAAAUGAUGAAUAAAAAAUCAAUCUAAUUCAAUUAGACUUCUUGCUUCUUAUCCAAACUUUUUUAAGUGCUCUAUUUUAUUUUACUUCUCACUUCCUAAUAGUUGAACUUCUUUUGGAUUAUCAGGGUCAUUCCUUAACUUAGGCUUUCUUUGGUGCUAUCAUCUCGCUUGUAGAUUUAGAAAUAUUUCCCUCAAAUAUGGGAAGAAAAAUGUGAAAAUAUUUCAAUUAAAAAGUAAAGAGUAUGUGGGGGAGGAGGAGGGAAAACAGGGAAACUAGUAUUAUACCAGGCACAUGCAAUGAUGCUGUGGAAGAUGACACGGAACUGGCCCUCUAUUCCUAUGUAUUGUUUGCAAGAUUUCAUAUAAUAUUGAAGUUAUACAAGGAUCAAGGUGAGGGUUGCCUAACUAUAUUUCCAUGAAAACUUGAAGAUAUGAUCAUGGACAUUACCAGCCCAUAGUAGACCAUGAAUACAAAGUUGUUCCAAGGUGGAGAUGUCAAUUAUUCGAUCAUGAACACCUUAAAUAAAUAAUUUAAUUCGAAAAUUAAUUAGAAUAAAACAACACGUUUGACAUAAAUCAGUACCCAUAGUAGACCCUAGGAUUUCCGGAAAUUUAAGGUUCACAUUUAACCCUAGAAGUCAACAUGUGUGUAAAAGUACUCCACGAAAUCUAUAUAAAACUAGAACAUUAUUUCUAAAUCUUGGAGUCUAUUAAUUAAUUUUUCCUUCCUGUUGGAUUCUAAUUCUCAGCAUCAAAGUUCGUUAAAAUUAAAUGGAGUGACAACUAUCUAGUGUAAAGAAAGAAUCAUUUGGUGGCAAACCCACCAUUUACUUUGGCUUAUGAUAGAAGUCCGAACCUCCUCAGACUCAAAACUACCUGCCUUAUUUCAAUAGGGUCCAAACGAAGGAAUGAUAAUUUUGACCUUUUCCAUGUAUAGUUUACAUUGUUUUUCCUCCUCCAAUGGCCUCUAUAUAUAGUAUAUAUGGACUCGACUAACCCACCAAUCCCAUAAGAAAAUAAAACUUUUUUGUCUCAGAAGCUGCAUUUUCUUAGUUGCCAUUUGGAUUUUCAUGCUUUCUUCACUAGAAAAAAAAAACUAAAGAAACUUUAGAUGAUAAGGAAAAAGUAUUAAGUAUUACAUUGUUUAUUAUUCAUGGACUUUCACUCCAAAUUGACCCAGAAUACAUCGGUUUUAGCUGAAAGCAUAUAAAACUUAUUAAUUUUCAGUUUUGAUGAGCAGAUGUGUUCAAAUUGCUGUAUAGAAAACCGACUAAUUCAAUUUCCAUGGAAUAUUCAGACCUUUUAGCAGUCUGAUUUCAAUUGAAUGAAUGAAUAAAUGAAUUACUAGAUUGUACAGCUCUAUUGUGUUUAUAGACAAGGUUAGCUUACAAUGAUAUACAAGAUUUAGUGUAUUAUCAACAAAACUGAGGAUGAACCACCACGAUAUUAGAAGAGCUUGCUUGCGAACUCUUCAAUGGCCUCUCCUUUUUGGGAAGAAGAAUAAGAGGAUGCUGCCAGAUCCUUGAGCCCGGACAAGCUUCUUCCUAGCUGUAGAGCCAUCUUCAUUCAAACAAUUCCCCAUUCUCUCUUCUCCCCACAUCUCUUUCAUUCAGAUUUGACUCUAUGCUCUCUUCCAUCAGCCGGAAGAAGCCUGCGUUGCCUCUAUACAUCUCAAACACCAUGCCCACUUGCCCGCCAUGCUCCAUUGUGUUCACCACGCUUGCCAUGGCUCCAGCUACGACUCCUAGUGUCGCGGCCCAGGGACCAUGAGAAGAUCCCACGAACGCAGUUCCACAAGCCGCUAAGCCUGUCAAUAAGGGGCCAGAAAUGGCGAGUAUCUUGUUGACUUUCAAGGCUAUUUUGCCCAGCCUCAAAUAGUCUUCAGUGUCCUUCCUCUUCAAAACCCCAACAACUUCUCUCAUUUCUUCCUCCAACUCCACACUCCAACCAUUUCCAUCUGUUCUGCCACUAUGCCUUUCCUGUCUUUGCCUGUGCUGCGGCCACCAUACAGCAGGUUCCACAGUUUCGGGGAAUUUAUCAAGCAUGGCUCCUAGUAAAGGAAGCGGGAAUGCCUUGUCCAGUGCCAAAACUUUCUCCAUGGCUUCCUCAACAUCGUUACUAGUAGGAGUGCCACAAGAGAGUGUUCUUUGAAUCUGGCCAUGAAGCUGCUUAAACAGCCUCGCAGCAUUGCGCUGUUCUUCGACGAGUUGAGAUGGCUGGAUCUUAUUCAUCACCACCAACAUCCCAGUGGCUGCCAAAUACAUCAGAGUUGAAGAGAGCUAGAGGGCCACAAGGGGUCCUCCUACACUUGUAGCAGCAAUUCCAGCCAUGGUUGCAGCAGUGAGUGUGAUUGCAUUAAUGGAUGUCAAAAGAAGAUGGUUCCAAUUAUCACGCUGCUCCCCGAUAUUCUUGUGCAUCUCCACUCUAUCUGCAACAGCCUCCAUGAUUUCAUGGAGCUUAGCAAUCACCAUAGGAUCAGAAACAUUGCUCACAGAAGGCAAAGUAGUAUUACGUCUGGACUUGUAUUUCUUCUCUACAUGGCUGGUGGUUGCAGCUGUGAGACCAACUCCCAUGUCCAGUACUUCCUGUACCAGAUCUCUAGCGGGGAACUUCAGAGAUAGGCCGCCAGUCCGGAGCUUAGGCAUAUUGAUAGUAGCUCUUAUCAUUCCUCUCCGGCAACAAGAUAAGGAAUGAGGCAAUGAACCAAUAACGCCUGAAGAUUGAAGUCUUGCCAUGUCCUCCCCUCGUAUGAUCUGUAUGAGUUUCUUCUGGUUGCUAAGAUUGGGUUAUUCUAAUGGACGGGUAUUGAAUGGCUUAGGCUUGAAGAAGUGUAGUGAAAUGGGGUGGAGAUGCAACCUGGAUUAUAUAUAGGGAAUGGGAGUGGGCCAAGUAUGCUGUUCAACGUUUGAAUGGGCUCAUGGGUCUUGAUUUAGACUGUUUCUCGUCUUCGGUUUAUUGGGGGUUUCACCCUUCAAUUAGGCUGCUUAUAAGCCAGGGCAUUCAAGCAGUCCUCCAUUGACUUUCAACCUGAAAAAACCAGUCAAACCAAGAAAUUGGCAAAGACAUUACAAGUAUAUAUAUUUUAAUUAACUGUACAAAAUCCGAAUGAUUAUGAACAAUUCCCACAGCUCAUUUAUGACUUUUUAGAGAUAUUUGUCAAAUGGAUUGAGGUAAUAUAUGACCAAGAAUUUAAAUUCAAAUUCGUGGUAAUAGCACUGAUGGGUCAUGACCACAAACAAUAAAAUCAACCUCUAAUUUGCUUCUCCAAUAUUUCUGGGUUUCAAACCUGUAGCCAUGGACACCACCUUUUUUUUUUUUUUUUUUCUUUGUUUCCCCUCUUUUUUUUUUUUUUGUGACUAAAUUGUUGCAAAAUUUAAUGAGAAAUUUAAAUACUUUGCACUGAAACCUCUUGUGCCUUGCUUAUCACAAUGAUAACACUUAAAUUACCUAAUCUUUCCUAUUGCCUUUCUAUUUAGUUUUUCUUAAUCCAUAUUCUUUAGUUACUUUGUGACUAUCACCUAAAAUAGUAUUUUCCCAAUCAAAAUAAAAAAAUGAAUCCUCCACUAUUGAUUUCUAAUUUGUAUAAUUUGUAACCAUCAGUUUUAUAAUUAGCACAAUACUAAAAAUCCUUGAAUAACAAAAGCUAUAAUAAUACUUGUUGGGAAAAAAAUUAGGACAUUUCAAUAAUUCAGAUAUAAAAACUGAAAGUUUAAGAUCUUGUAUUGUGGAACUACCCAAAAAGAGGGAUAUGCAAUUUAUGUAGUUUUUAUUGAUUUAGCCCAAAGGUUACAAAUUUUUAGUUUUUAUAUGUUCUUUGAUUAGAAAAUAAUUGACCAAUACAAACAAAGAGUACUCAAUCAUAUACAUGGAUAUGCAAUAUAUAUAGAAAACCACUUAUAAAGUUUCUCAAAGACUUUAGGAAUUUAAAACCUUUAGGGUCAAAGAGCAUAAAACUAGAAUUCACUAAAUUUUAAAAAUUAGGUAUAUGGUUUUAUCUCAUAGUUGCUACUUCUUCAUAAUAUACAUAUAUUCUCACAUCUACAACGUAACACCUCUGAACACUUUAGUAAACUCUUCAAUACCUUAAUGUGAAAUGAUUCUAAUACCUCAAAUCCAACUAAUUUUGAUUUUGAUUUUGAUUUUUUUUUUGUGACAAUGUUAAGUGCAAAGAAUAAUGACAUAAAUUUUAGGCACAUUAAUUCAAAAUCAUACAAUAGCAUACAUAUGUAUAAGGGAUAAACCCUAGUAGACUUGGACUCAAAUUAAAAAUAACAUUUCGCCCAAAAAAAAAAAAAAACUUGAGAAAAUUAGGAACUUUGGAAAACUGUUGAAACCGGGUUGGUUAGUGUUAUGCGUGUCCCUUUCUUCUUUCUUUUUUCUCUCCCUCUUGUCUUAUUUUUAUGUUUGAGUGAGUGGGUAUCACAAGAUUCACAACCACCACAUGGAAAGGGUGACACCAACUUAUAUAUAUAAAUAUAUAAGAGAGAAAGAGAGUCCAAUGGUAAGAAAUUAAUAUACUGUGAAAUUGAAAAUAAUUAAAAAAUUUACUUAUUUCAAGUGCUCAAUUCUUACUUGAAUGCAUAAGGGCUUUUAGAUUUUCACCAAAAAAAUAUGAGAAAACUCAUAUACCUAGGAUUAUAACGUCAAGAGGUUUAUAAUUUAUCGAAAAAAAUAAAAAUUAUAAUAAACAAUUGAUCAAUCAUCAUGUAGACAGUCAAACUGUAAACAAAUUUUAACAACAUUUAUAUCGCUAUAUAUUGAAAUCGUGCAAUCAAUCCACAAAUUGACCAAAAAUACUUACUCUAAGUGGUCAACACUAUUUAGUCACCUUCGAAGAGCUGGUGAGGUCCCCACAAUACUCCAUCACAUCUAAUGGUUUGAUGAUAUUUAAUAUUUAAAUUUUGGGAACCAAAAAUAUUCUAAGAAAUGCCUUUUUUUUUUUUAACUAGAUCCAUCAUCCUCGGCUGUUGCCAAACAAUACUAAAAGCAGAUCUCCUUUUGGGCAUUUCAAUUAUAUAUUUGAAUAAUGCAAAGGGAUGAUAAUAUAAUUAUGUUACCAGUUUCACUUUUGAGUAAAUAAAUGGGAAUGGUGAGGACAAAGGGAUAAUGUCUGCACAUCGACAAGCCACCCCACAAUUUCUUCUUUUUUGGUCAUAUUCUUGAUUGCAUUUUCGCCAAAGUUCACAUCACAUAAAUUUAUCAUUAAUUAAAUGAAAGGUAAUCAUAGAAAAUGUAGCCAUAAUUACGACCUUAAUGCCUCUUGGAGUCUAUUCAAUGGAAUGACAACUAUCUACUGUAAAAAGAAUCAUUUGGUAGCAAACCUAUUCGUUGACUUUGGCUCCUAUGAUAAAAGUCAGUGUCUCCUCGACACACUGUCUUAUUUCAAUAGAGUUAAGGAAUGAUAAUUUUGAACUUUUCCAUGUGUGGAUCAUUAAUUACGUGGUUUGUCUUCUUCCAAUGACUUUUAUGCAUAUUAUGGAUUCUAAUAGCCAACCAACCCCAUAAGAAAAUGAAAUUUUCAACCUCAGGAGCCGCAUUUUCUUAGUUGUCAUUUGGAUUAUCAUGCUUUCUUGCACUAGAAAGAAAACCAAAGAAACUUAGAUGAUAAAGAAAAUCGAUAAAUUAUCACAGUGACCCAGAAAAUACAUCAGUUUUAGCUGAAUGCAUAUUUUCUCAAUUUUCAGUUUUGGGGGCGUUGUGUACAAAUUGCUGUAUAGAAAAUGGACUAAUUCAAUUUCCAUGGAAUAUUCAGACCCCCACUAGUCUGAUUUCAAUUGCAUGAAUGAAUAAAUGAAUUACUAGAUUGUACAGCUCUAUUGUGUUUAUAGACAAGGUUAGCUUACAAUGAUAUGCAAGAUUUAGUGUAUUAUCAACAAAACUGAGGAUGAACCUCUAGGAUACUAGAAGAGCUUGCUUGCGAACUCUUCAAUGGCCUCUCCCUUUUUAGAAGAAGAAUAAGAGGAUGCUGCCAGACCCUUGAGCCCGGACAAGCUUCUUCCUAGCUGUAGAGCCACCUUCGUUUCAAACAAUUCCCCGUUCUCUCUUCUCCCCACAUCUCUUUCAUUCAGAUUUGACUCUAUGCUCUCUUCCAUCAGCCGGAAGAAGCCUGCGUUGCUUCUAUACAUCUCAAACACCAUGCCCACUUGCCCGCCAUGCUCCAUUGUGUUCACCACGCUUGCCAUGGCUCCAGCUACGACUCCUAGUGUGGCGGCCCAGGGACCGUGAGAAGAUCCCACGAACGCAGUUCCACAAGCCGCUAAGCCUGUCAAUAAGGGACCAGAAAUGGCGAGCAUCCUGUUAACUUUCAAGGCUAUUUUGCCCAGCCUCAAAUAGUCUUCAGUGUCCUUUCUCUUCAAAACCCCGACAACUUCUCUCAUUUCUUCCUCCAACUCCACACGCCAACCAUUUCCAUCUGUUCUCCCACUCUGCCUUUCCUGCCUUUGCCUGUGCUCCGGCCACCAUACAGCAGGCUCCACAGUUUUGGGGAAUUUAUCGAGCAUCGCUCCUAGUAAAGGAAGCGGGAAGGCCUUGUCCAGUGACAAAACUUUCUCCAUAACUUCCUCAACAUCGGUACUAGUAGGAGUGCCACAAGAGAGUGUUCUUUGAAUCUGGCCAUGAAGCUGCUUAAACAACCUCGCGGCAUUGCGCUGUUCUUCGACGAGUUGAGAUGGCUGGAUCUUAUUCAUCACCACCAACAUCCCAGUGGCUGCCAAAUACAUCAGAGUGGAAGAGAGCUUGAGAGCUACAAGGGGUCCUCCUACACUUGUAGCAGCAAUUCCAGCCAUGGUUGCAGCAGUGAGUGUGAUUGCAUUAAUGGAUGUCAAAAGAAGAUGGUUCCAAUUAUCACGCUGCUCCCCGAUAUUCUUGUGCGUCUCCACUCUAUCUGCAACAGCCUCCAUGAUUGCAUGGAGUUUAGCAAUCACCAAAGGAUCAGAAACAUUGCUCACAGAAGGGAAAGUACCAUUAGUACUCAGCUCGUAUUUCUUCUCCAAAUUGCUGGUGGUUGCUGUUGAGAUAUUAAAAAUGCUUUCCGUAUAUCAUUCUUUCCUUAUAUUAUUUAGUGUUGAGAUAUUAGGAAUGUUUAAAUAUUAGGAAAGUUGAGAUAUUAAGAAUAUUGAGAUAUUAAGAAAGUUGAGAUAUUAGGAUAUUAGUUGUUAUUUCUUUAUAUCAUUCUUUCCUUGUAUCAUUCCUUCCCAUUCUUAGAAUGGUGAUUACCCUCUAUAUAUUCUCUAUACAUGAAUGAAUGAAAGUAUGAAUGAAAAAAACUAUCAUUUAUCAAUUUGAACAUACCAUGUUCAAAUUGAUGAAUGGUAGUUUUUCAUUCAUCAAUUUGAACAUGGUAUCAGAGCCAUGGAACUGAAAUCCUGGAUAUUUUGUCGCUAUAGUAGUCCGACAGCGAUCAUCCAUCCUAAGACAAGCCCUAAUAUUGAUAAGUCAACCUUCAAAUGCACUCACUAUAAUAAGAUUGAUCCCACCAAUCUGGAUAUCCCACAAUUUCAAAGCAACGACUCUUGGUAUGACUAGGAAAACAAUGAGGAACCGAGGAUUUGAACCAUGGACCUUUAGAUCAUGUUUAGGCUAUCAACAUUUUGUUAUUAAUGAUAAUAAUCGUGAUCAACGGAAGAAAGAUUCCAAGAAAACCUCGAUUGCAACUGUUGCCGAAAUAAAAAUAGAGGCUAAUGUUGUUGAGAAAGCCUCUGCAUUGGUAGCCGCUACAGAUCAUGAUGGUAAGUUUUUAAAUACUUUUACACCUGUUAUUAAUAGUGCAUGGAUAAUUGAUUCUGGUGCUACAGAUCAUAUGACUUUUGAUUCUAGACAGGUUUCACCACUUAGACCUUCCUCACAAAAAAUUAUUUCCACAGCCAAUGGUAACACAACCCCAGUCAUUGGGGAAGGAUCCUUAAAUCUUAAUGAUACUUUGAAUUUGGAUUCUGUUUUAGUUGUUCCAUCUUUAGAUUACAAUCUUUUGUAAGUUUAUGAAAUCACCGCAGUAUUAUCUUAUAGUUUCAUUUUUUGGCCUGAAUUUUGUGUGAUUCAGGACAUCCAAACAAGCUAAAAGAUUGGUUGUGGUAUUAUGAGGAAAGGACUCUAUUACUGGGACUUGCAGUAAAAGGAUUCAAAUANNNNNNNNNNNNNNNNNNNNNNNNNNNNNNNNNNNNNNNNNNNNNNNNNNNNNNNNNNNNNNNNNNNNNNNNNNNNNNNNNNNNNNNNNNNNNNNNNNNNAAGAGUGGCUCAUGUUGGUUUGUUACUUUUAUUGAUGAUUGUACUAGAAUGACAUGGUUAUGUUUGAUGAAGACCAAAGAUGAAGUGAACUUGUUGUUUCAAAAAUUUCAUAAAAUGAUUGAAACUCAGUACAAUGCAAAGGUUCGGGUUCUGCGUAGUGAUAAUGGUGGAGAAUAUCAAAGUUCUGAUCUUCAAAAGUAUUUGGAAGGACAUGGCAUCAUUCAUCAGACUACUUGUUCCAAUACACCCCAGUAAAAUGCAAUCGCUGAACGGAAAAAUCGACACUUGUUAGAGGUUGUUCGUGCUUCUUUGAUAGCAACAAAAACACCGAUAUCUUAUUGGGGAGAAGCAAUCACAUCUGCCGUAUACUUGAUCAAUCGGGUACCUUCCAGCUCAAUUAACUUCCAAACACCUCUCCAAGCUCUUACUAAUGUCGUAGUUGCCCCAACUGUCCCAAAUCUACCUCCUCGUGUUUUUGGUUGUGUGGCAUUUGUGCAUCUAUACAAACACCAAUGCACCAAGUUAACUUCUCAUGCAUUGCAAUGUGUGUUUGUUGGAUAUGCAUUGCACAAAAAGGGAUAUCGAUGUUACCAUCCUCCAACUCGACAAAUGUAUAUUACAAUAGAUGUGGUGUUUCAUGAAGAUUCGAUGUAUUUUUCAUCUGAGUCUGAACUUCAGGGGGAGUACCAUAAGGAAAUUCAGACUCUCGAUUAUGAUUAUCAUAUCUCUAAGGAGAAUGAAUUUGGACAAUCUGAACUAGUGAACCAAGAAGCGGGUGAGUUGGAUAUGAGUGGUCAAUAAUUUGGGUCCGAAGAUGUCUUCACUGAAAUACCAAACCAAUCGUCGUCUGUUGAAGGUGUUUUUAAUUUGGAACCUGAUCCAUUCAUGAAACGGUUACCACACCGUCAUAAUAGAGGUAUUCCUAAACCCACAUAUGAACCUGAAUUGUCUACCAAAGUCAAAUAUCCCAUGAGCAACUAUGUGUCUAACCAUCGUUUGUUUGAAUCAAAUAAGUCAUUUGUAAAUCAAUUAUCUACUGUAACUAUUCCUAACAGUGUGCAGGAAGCCUUAGCUGAUCCAAGAUGGAAAGCAGCCAUGAAUGAAGAGAUGAAAUCAUUGCAGAAGAAUGAAACAUGGGAACUCGUAGAAUGUCCACCAGGAAAGAAACCAGUUGGGUGUCGUUGGAUCUAUACUGUGAAAUACAAGGCAGAUGGUAGUAUUGAACGAUUUAAAGCAAGACUGGUAGCAAAAGGGUACACUCAAACUUAUGGAAUUGACUACACAAAGACAUUUGCACCUGUAGCUAAGAUCAACACAGUUCGAGUAUUACUAUCUUUAGCUGUAAACCUAGAUUGGCCAUUACAAAAGUUCGAUGUGAAAAAUGUUUUUCUGUAUGGCGAGUUAUCUGAAGAAGUAUAUGUGGAUCUUCCACCAGGAUGCAUGGUGUCAGAAAAGCAAUGUCACAAGGCGUGCAAAUUAAAGAAGUCAUUGUAUGGGUUGAAGUAAUCCCCGAGAGCAUGGUUUGGAAGGUUUACAAAGUCAAUGAGAGCUUUUGGCUAUCGUCAAAGUAAUUCAGAUCAUACUUUGUUCCUGAAAAAGCAACAUGGUAAGAUUACCGCACUCAUCGUAUAUGUGGAUGACAUGGUAGUUACAGGAAAUGAUCCUGAAGAAAGAAAAGCUCUGCAAAAUUAUCUAUCUAGAGAAUUCGAAAUGAAAUAUCUAGGUCCUCUGAAAUACUUUCUUGGGAUUGAAGUUUCUCGAUCAAGUGAAGGAAUUUUUCUGUCUCAAAGAAAGUAUGCCUUAGAUCUUUUACAGGAGACUAGAAUGUCGGGAUGUCAACCUAUUAAUACACCAAUAGAAGAAGGUUUGAAAUUGUGUGUUGAGCCUAAUCAAGUAUCAAUCGAUAAGGGAAGAUACCAGAGACUUGUGGGGAGAUUAAUGUACUUAGCUCUGAUACCAUCUUCAAAUUGAUAAAUAGUAGUUUUUUCCAUUCAUACUUUCAUUCGUUCAUGUAUAGAGAAUAUAUAGAGGGUAAUCACCAUUUUAAGAAUGGGAAGGAAUGAUACAAGGAAAGAAUGAUAUAAGGAAAUAACAACUAAUAUCUUAAUAUCUCAACUUUCAUAAUAUCUCAAUAUUCCUAAUAUCUCAAUAUUCUUAAUGUCUCAACUUUCCUAAUAUUUAAACAUUCCUAAUAUCUCACGUCGCUCGUUCAAGUGCAGAAGCAAAAUUUAGAGGUAUGACUCUAGGACUUUGUGAGGCAUUAUGGCUAAGACUUCUCUUAUAAGAUUUAGGUUACCUAUCUAAGCAACCAAUCCGAUUGUUUUGUGACAAUAAAGUCGCAUGUGACAUUGCUCAUAAUCCAGUACAACAUGAUAGUACAAAGCAUGUCGAGGUGGAUAGAUUCUUCAUUAAGGAAAAGUUGGAUGAUAAGAUUGUGGAAUUGCCUAAGAUUCGAUCAGAAGAUCAAUUGACCGAUAUUCUCACCAAAGCUGUCUCAAGUCAAGUGUUCUCAAAAUUUUUAGACAAGUUGGACAUGUGUGACAUCUAUGCACCAACUUGAGGGGGAGUGUUGAGAUAUUAGGAAUGUUUUCCGUAUAUCAUUCUUUCCUUAUAUUAUUUAGUGUUGAGAUAUUAGGAAUGUUUAAAUAUUAGGAAAGUUGAGAUAUUAAGAAUAUUGAGAUAUUAGGAAAGUUGAUAUAUUAGGAUAUUAGUUGUUAUUUCCUUAUAUCAUUCUUUCCUUAUAUUAUUCCUUCCCAUUCUUAGAAUGGUGAUUACCCUCUAUAUAUUCUCUGUACAUGAACGAAUGAAAGUAUGAAUGGAAAAAACUACUAUUUAUCAAUUUGAAGAGUUGCAGCUAUGAGACCAACUCCCAUAUCCAGUACUUCCUGUAGUACCAACUCUCUAGCGAGGAGGUUUAAAGAUAGGCGGAUGGGCUGGAGCUUAGGCAUAUUGAUAGUAGCUCUUAUCAUUCCUCUCCGGCAACGAGAUGAGGAAUAAGCCACUGACGUAAUAACAGCCGAUGAAAAUUGAAGACUCACCAUAUCCUCUCCUUGUACGAUCUGUAUGAGUUUCUUCUUGUUGCUA